CUGCUUGUAUGUCUGAGAGGUGGGCAAUCUUCCACGGAAGCUUACAUCAAAAUAUAGCAGUUAAGUUUUUAAAGUGCUACAACAUCUUCUCUCCCUCUUUUCUUUCUUUUGUGUGUGUGUGUGUUUCUCUUGAUUGGUUUAUUCCUUAGCAGCAAUGGAGUCAGUUACAGAAUACAGCCUUUUAUGGAAGUUAUGCCAUCUCAGAAAAUGAGACGCACUCUAUGGAAGGAAUUUUAGAAAAGCUGCUCCUAGAUGCAACCCUGAUUCCUCCCACUGCCAUUAAUCAUGUCAGGUAUCAUUCGUAUCGGAGCGUUGCACAGUUCAAAACCAAAGACGCACAGGAAAUACAGGCAAAAUCAAAACCCAAUUAAAAUCUCAUGACAAUCAGGCUAAUUUUUGACCCAAAGCGGUUAGAGCUUGAGAUGAGCGCAGAAAGUUUCCCCAGACUUCAGCCAUUCUCCAGGGGUUUGGUGUCCAUGAAGUGCGUGCUGAGCAGUUGAUGAAAUAAUAUACUGUACAGUACUGUAUUAUAACUAAGCCACAGGUCCCUGUAUAAAUUGGGCCUGGGAAGCAUCGAAGGGGCAACAGAAGCGGGUAUGUAGAAGGAAAAGGCUGCAGAAAUAUUGCAAAAAAAGAGAGCUCUCCGUCUCCCUCUUCUAUCAAUGGCCAAAAAGUAGCAACUCCGAUGCUCAUCUUUGGACUCCGGAAGCAAUGGAGGUUUACCAGGAGCCUGGCAUGGCUUCAGUCACGUGACGGGAAGCGGGGAACAGGCUGGGCAGCCAACAGAAGGAUCCAUUCAGAGAGUAAAAAAGGGAAGCGGUGCGACGCCCGAACCCCAUCCCUUGUUUCUCCUGCAGGCUUCCUGCAAAUCGUGAAGGCGAUCCGUGGGGAGAAGGGGGAAUGCAGAAUUGGGCCUCCGUCUGUAUCCAGAAGAAAGGGAAGGAAAAUGGCUGCAGUCAGAUCAGCUCAGGUAGGAAGGUUUUCGUGGCUGCUAAUGGUCUUUGUAUCAGAAAAGAAGGCACAAAAUUGAAGAGUAAUAAACACUAUAUGAUAGCCGCA
rnacentral:lncRNA from 1 species